CCUACGGGAGGCAGCAGUGGGGAAUAUUGCACAAUGGGGGAAACCCUGAUGCAGCAACGCCGCGUGGGUGAAGAAGUAUUUCGGUAUGUAAAGCCCUAUCAGCAGGGAAGAGAAUGACGGUACCUGACUAAGAAGCCCCGACUAACUCCGUGCCAGCAGCCGCGGUAAUACGUAGGGGGCAAGCGUUAUCCGGAUUUACUGGGUGUAAAGGGAGCGUAGACGGUUGAGCAAGUCUGAUGUGAAAGCCCGCGGCUCAACGGCGGAACGGCCUUUGAAACUGUGUAACUGGAGUGUGGGAGAGGUAGGCGGAAUUCCUGGGGUAGCGGUGAAAUGCGUAGAGAUCAGGAGGAACACCGACGGCGAAGGCGGCUUACUAGACAAUAACUGACGUUGAGGCGCGAAAGCGUGGGGAGCAAACAGGAUUAGAUACCCGUGUAGUC
rnacentral:rRNA from 1 species